AAAUUGAAGAGUUUGAUCAUGGCUCAGAUUGAACGCUGGGGGCAGGCCUAACACAUGCAAGUCGAACGGUAACAGGAAGCAGCUUGCUGCUUUGCUGACGAGUGGCGGACGGGUGAGUAAUGUCUGGGAAACUGCCUGAUGGAGGGGGAUAACUACUGGAAACGGUGGCUAAUACCGCAUAACGUCGCAAGACCAAAGAGGGGGACCUUCGGGCCUCUUGCCAUCAGAUGUGCCCAGAUGGGAUUAGCUAGUUGGUGAGGUAACGGCUCACCAAGGCGACGAUCCCUAGCUGGUCUGAGAGGAUGGCCAGCCACACUGGAACUGAGACACGGUCCAGACUCCUACGGGAGGCAGCAGUGGGGAAUAUUGCACAAUGGGCGCAAGCCUGAUGCAGCCAUGCCGCGUGUAUGAAGAAGGCCUUCGGGUUGUAAAGUACUUUCAGCGGGGAGGAAGGUGUUG
rnacentral:rRNA from 2 species